UUUUAAGAAAAGAAGAGCUCAAUAAUUCAACAUAUAUCUGUACACACAUAAUUGAAUAAGAUAUUCGACACAUCAAUCACUAUAGGUUACAUUAUAACCACACAAAUUAAAGAAAAGAAAAAAAAAAAACUAAUAUCACGAGAUUCUCAUUCAAUGACUACUACGUCCGCCACGAGCUUUACCCGUACUCGACGAACCAGUUCCGGAUCCGGAUCCGGAUCCAGACCCACCAGCUGUCGAAACACUCCCUGAGCCUCUAGACCCAAAGUAAAGAUCCGAGAGGUAAUUCCCAAUAUCUUCAGGGGUAUAUCUGGAAAUAGCCUCAUUAUCUCCAACCAUACCAUAUGCAAACCGGUUCAUCCGGUAAAACUCGGUACAAACCAGCAUAAGUUUCUGACUCAACGUGAUUUUAAUCUGGUCCCUAAGUUUCGGGUCGGGUAUAACCCACGAAGUCUGUUUCCGGUACGACGUCUCAAACUCAUCGUUGAAUCUCGCCACCAAAACCUUAGCUUCCUCCGGCGAAAUCUCAUCCGUCGGAAUCUCCGGUAGUAAAUCCAGCACUUUCCCCCACGCAAGCUUCUCAAACUUAUCAGCAUACAGCUUCACCUUCUCUUCAUGCCUAAACACCCAAUCGUCUCCGAGAAGAACCUUCAGAGUCGACGAUCGGACUUUAACGACGACGUAUUGGAGAUUGUUAGCGAGGAAGAGAUAAGACAAAGCAACGUCUUUAUACGGCUGAGCUUUACCGUCGAUUUUACAAAGCGUGAGUAAAAUCACCCAAGCGAUACGUACAGAGACCGGAGACGAAUACAGAUCCUCCGGAUUCGCUUCAUCGCCGCCGCUUAUGUAUAAAGAAUCCGGCAACGGCGUCGGCACACUCAGCUUCCAGUUUUCGAAUAUCGCAGCGAUGGAAUCACUGUAAUCAGCGAGGAAGGAGAGGUAAUUCAUAACGUAACGAGUCAGAGGAUGAACACCACCACCGAUGAUCGGAGUCUUCGAGGUUUCUUUCUGAAUCGCCGAUUCGAAAUCCGUCAUCAUCAACCUCGUCGCAUCGCCGAGUCUAGCUAACGAGUUUAUCACCUGAGAUCUAACCGCAGCAGCUGAUUCGAAGUAGAAGAUUGAUUCAAUCUCAACAUAGAGAUUCGCAAGAGCUUCAUACAUAUCCAGAAACCGAAACAUUUUCUCCGGAGUUAACUUUUUGAUCUUGGAAGCAUAUUCCGGGAAAGUGAAGAGAAUCAAUGCUCCUUCUUGAGUAAUCUCAGUGAAAGAAGAUUCAACGAUUAAACCAGAGGAAGAGAAAACAUGAUCAGCUAAAAUCCUCUCACCGAAGAACAAUUUUCUAACAAUUAUGCAGCGUCUCAUCAACAAUCGAUUUCCGUACGGUUUUAUAAACCCUAACGCAUUCCUUAGCGUAGCCGGUAGAGAUCAUACAAUCAGCAAUCAUCUUGAGAUCAUCCAUUGCGUCGGAAUCUCCACCGGAGAAUCUAUGCUCUUCGUCGGCGUUUUCUUCGUAACUGCUUUCGUCUUCGGAAUCGGAGACACUAGUCGUAGUCGAAGUACUGAAUCUCGAUGAUCUGUAAGAACGUACAGAGACACAUUCAGGAUCUAAAUACUCACGGUUCGCUUUUAAAACACGAUGAAACUCUGAUUCGAGAAGCUUCAUCGCCGAUUGCAUUAGAUUCUGUGCGUAGAUUAGCUUCUCCGAGGAAGGGUUAACGGAAACCAAACGAUGCAUCGUGCUUUGUAGAUGUCUAACGGCUGUAACAAACUCCUCUGCUUCACGACGACUGUUGGUGGAGAAGAGGAAGUCGUCGGAGGAAGAAGCAGCCGGAGAAGUCCAUUUUGAUAUGACGGUGUUGAUGUUGCUCAUACAUUCUUGAACAGCUGAUUCCGCGAGAGAGAGAUGAGCUGUUGGUUUCUCCGGUGGAGGAGAUGAUCGGAAUAAAUGCUUCCCCAUUUUUGUGGUUUGCUCUGUUUUUAUUUUUUGGUACCGUCUCUUUUUAUGUGUGUGAAGAAGAAGGUACUCUGUUUUUUUUUUUUGGUUACUCUUUAACAAAAAUAAAACUUCUGGUUUGUUGUUUGUUUGUUUGGUUUUUGUAAUCAAAAAGUGAAGUAGAUAAGAUGAGGAAGGUGGAGGAAUGAGCUAUAUAUAUUAUAGAAACGACGGC
rnacentral:lncRNA from 1 species